ACGGGGGUCAGUUUGUGAAGGCGCUGUUUCAAUGAGUCUAUAUACAUGAUGGCACCACUAUAAACACUUGCCUCCCCCAUAACAAGCUCAGGCCAACCAUCAGGACCCACCAAGAAAUCCUACCAGUGCCAAAAGUGAAAUAUAAAAGAAAAAAAUCAAUAAAUGAAAUAAAAUACAAGAUGGCGCCACUGUAAACACUUGCCUGCCCCAUAACAAGCUCAGGCCAACCAUCAGAACCCACCAAGAAAUCCUACCAGUGCCAAAAGUGAAAUAUAAAAGAAAAAAAUCAAUAAAUGAAAUAAAAUACAAGAUGGCGCCACUGUAAACACUUGCCUGCCCCAUAACAAGCUCAGGUCGACCAUCAGGAUCUACCAAGAAAACCUACUGGUGACAUAAGUGAAACAUGAAAUAAUUACGUAAAUAAAAAACAAA